AAAUUGAAGAGUUUGAUCAUGGCUCAGAUUGAACGCUGGCGGCAGGCCUAACACAUGCAAGUCGAACGGUAACAGGAAGCAGCUUGCUGCUUUGCUGACGAGUGGCGGACGGGUGAGUAAUGUCUGGGAAACUGCCUGAUGGAGGGGGAUAACUACUGGAAACGGUGGCUAAUACCGCAUAACGUCGCAAGACCAAAGAGGGGGACCUUCGGGCCUCUUGC
rnacentral:rRNA from 5 species